AGGGUUUGACAUCCUGCGAACCCCUGGGAAAUGAGGGGGUGCCUUCGGGAGCGCAGAGACAGGUGGUGCAUGGCUGUUGUCAGCUCGUGUCGUGAGAUAUUGGGUUAAGUUCCGCAACGAGCGCAACCCACGUCGUUAGUUGCCAGCAUUCAGUUGGGCACUCUAGCGAGACCGCCGGUGAUAAACCGGAGGAAGGUGUGGAUGACGUCAAGUCAUCAUGCCCCUUACAUCCUGGGCUACACACGUAAUACAAUGCUACGGACAAAGGGCAGCAAGCUCGCGAGAGUAAGCAAAUCCCAUAAACCGUGGCUCAGUUCAGAUCGUAGGCUGCAACUCGCCUACGUGAAGGAGGAAUCGCUAGUAAUCGCAGGUCAGCA
rnacentral:rRNA from 1 species